GAGCCAGUAGCUUAGUCUGGAUAACCGUUAGGUUCUUGCUGAACCUUGGUUCAGGAAUAGAGCACUUCCCUCCUAAGGAAGGGGUCGCAGGUUCGAAUCCUGUCUGGCUCG
rnacentral:tRNA from 1 species